UAGGGAAUCUUCCGCAAUGGGCGAAAGCCUGACGGAGCAACGCCGCGUGAGUGAUGAAGGUCUUCGGAUCGUAAAACUCUGUUAUUAGGGAAGAACAUAUGUGUAAGUAACUGUGCACAUCUUGACGGUACCUAAUCAGAAAGCCACGGCUAACUACGUGCCAGCAGCCGCGGUAAUACGUAGGUGGCAAGCGUUAUCCGGAAUUAUUGGGCGUAAAGCGCGCGUAGGCGGUUUUUUAAGUCUGAUGUGAAAGCCCACGGCUCAACCGUGGAGGGUCAUUGGAAACUGGAAAACUUGAGUGCAGAAGAGGAAAGUGGAAUUCCAUGUGUAGCGGUGAAAUGCGCAGAGAUAUGGAGGAACACCAGUGGCGAAGGCGACUUUCUGGUCUGUAACUGACGCUGAUGUGCGAAAGCGUGGGGAUCAAACAGGAUUAGAUACCCUGGUAGUCCACGCCGUAAACGAUGAGUGCUAAGUGUUGGGGGCUUUCCGGCCCUCGGUGCUGGAGCUAACGUAUUAAGCACUCCGCCUGGGGAUUACGACCGCAAGGUUG
rnacentral:rRNA from 1 species